CGGGUUUAUGGAUUGGAUUCAGUCAGCCUCACGACAUAAUCAGAGUGAGGCUUUGGUUACCGGCAAACGCUUCUCCAAAGGCGACCCUCUCGAGUUUCCGGCUGUUUCCGUCAUUGAAGUAGCCUUUCGUCGCCCUACCAAAGGAAAGAAGUCACUAUCAAACAGCUCGCCCUAUUGAAGUACCAAAGGUGCGCUCAGCCCGGUGACUAGGAAAUGGGUUUGCCCUUGAAUUGAAGUGAUGAGGUCGGAAAGAGGGAAGUAGAUUCUCCAAAGGCGACCUUCUCGAGUUUUCGGCUCUUUGCGUCGUUGAGGUAGCCUUUCGUCGCCCUACCAAACAAAAUCUGUCACUAUCAAACAGCUCGUCCUAUUAAGUACCAUAGGUACGCUCAGUCCGGUGACUAGGAAAUGGGUUUGCCCUUGAAUUGAAGUGAUGAGGUCGGAAAGAGGGAAGUAGGGCUCCUAUUGACUAAAGGUUGGUUCUUCGCUUUCCUUUAGAAUGAAAGUUGCUAUGAAGCCCCUACUACUUACUUUGUUUGAUUCAAAAGGCGAACAGCCCCCCCA
rnacentral:lncRNA from 1 species